GAACGUGUCGCCCAACGGCAGGGCACCACCUCGUCAGGGUGAGAGGUGCGGGUUCGAAUCCCGUCACGUUGU
rnacentral:tRNA from 1 species